rnacentral:lncRNA from 7 species
UAUUCACUUUUUUUUUCCCCUAAGAAGGAGACUACAGUAUUCAGUGUGAGCUGGGAGGAAGGCAAAUGCUGGAAGAGAACUGCAAGAACAGAUAAGGAAAGACGUCAUAUGGCAGAUGGGUAACAUGGUGUCCAGCAGAGAUGCUGCAGGAUCAAGUGGUGAGGUUAUCUUCCUUUACAGUGUCUGCAGUGCCACAUAGGCAGGCCUCAGGAGAUCAAGAGUUCCAGCUUUUCAUCAUUUACUGAGAUAACCAUGUAAAGUCUAUACUGCAGAGACUAAAGAAUGACCUUGCUGAGAUAACACACCCUGGCUCGUAGAAGGGCACUUUUCCUCCAGAAUCAAAGGACAGUUGAGGUUAGAAGGGACCUCUGGAAGCCAUGUAGCCCAACCCAACUAAGAGCAGGUUGCCCAGGACCACAUCUAGACAGCUUCUGAAGACCUCCAAGGAGGAAACUUCACCACUCCUCUAGACAACCCACAACAGUGCAUGGUCAUCUAUCUGCAGAGUACAGGAGUGCUUCCCUUUGUUCCAGUUUGUGUCCACUGCACCACUGACAAGAGCCCGGCACCAUUCUCUCUGCGCCCACCCUUCAGAAGGAGUUCCCUGACAGCGAGUAAUUCUGCAGAUACUUCUUUGCCAGAUCUAUUUCAGAGACCUUUGCAAACGCUCAUCCAUGCUGCAAGGAGGUCCCCCUUUGUUUGGUGUUCCUACCCCUGGGACGGAAUUGUGCUCAUGCACAACCCAUGUUAGUUGGGGUGCCCACACCAUGGGGGUGUGGGCAACGUACCUGACCUCCCCUGUACUGCCCAGGAACGCAAGGGAAAGAAAAUAGCAGCAUCCUGGUUUUCAAACAUGCUACUGGCGUCUUGACCACAUACAUUUUUUCAUUCUCCCCUUUGAAAAUGAUUAUUUAAAAAACAAGAACAAUAAUAGUAAAACCCCUUUUAU